rnacentral:rRNA from 1 species
UUAAGCGACUAAGCGUACACGGUGGAUGCCCUGGCAGUCAGAGGCGAUGAAGGACGUGCUAAUCUGCGAUAAGCGUCGGUAAGGUGAUAUGAACCGUUAUAACCGGCGAUUUCCGAAUGGGGAAACCCAGUGUGUUUCGACACACUAUCAUUAACUGAAUCCAUAGGUUAAUGAGGCGAACCGGGGGAACUGAAACAUCUAAGUACCCCGAGGAAAAGAAAUCAACCGAGAUUCCCCCAGUAGCGGCGAGCGAACGGGGAGNNNNNNNNNNAGCCCAGAGCCUGAAUCAGUGUGUGUGUUAGUGGAAGCGUCUGGAAAGGCGCGCGAUACAGGGUGACAGCCCCGUACACAAAAAUACACAUAUUGUGAGCUCGAUGAGUAGGGCGGGACACGUGGUAUCCUGUCUGAAUAUGGGGGGACCAUCCUCCAAGGCUAAAUACUCCUGACUGACCGAUAGUGAACCAGUACCGUGAGGGAAAGGCGAAAAGAACCCCGGCGAGGGGAGUGAAAAAGAACCUGAAACCGUGUACGUACAAGCAGUGGGAGCACGCUUAGGCGUGUGACUGCGUACCUUUUGUAUAAUGGGUCAGCGACUUAUAUUCUGUAGCAAGGUUAACCGAAUAGGGGAGCCGAAGGGAAACCGAGUCUUAACUGGGCGUUAAGUUGCAGGGUAUAGACCCGAAACCCGGUGAUCUAGCCAUGGGCAGGUUGAAGGUUGGGUAACACUAACUGGAGGACCGAACCGACUAAUGUUGAAAAAUUAGCGGAUGACUUGUGGCUGGGGGUGAAAGGCCAAUCAAACCGGGAGAUAGCUGGUUCUCCCCGAAAGCUAUUUAGGUAGCGCCUCGUGAAUUCAUCUCCGGGGGUAGAGCACUGUUUCGGCAAGGGGGUCAUCCCGACUUACCAACCCGAUGCAAACUGCGAAUACCGGAGAAUGUUAUCACGGGAGACACACGGCGGGUGCUAACGUCCGUCGUGAAGAGGGAAACAACCCAGACCGCCAGCUAAGGUCCCAAAGUCAUGGUUAAGUGGGAAACGAUGUGGGAAGGCCCAGACAGCCAGGAUGUUGGCUUAGAAGCAGCCAUCAUUUAAAGAAAGCGUAAUAGCUCACUGGUCGAGUCGGCCUGCGCGGAAGAUGUAACGGGGCUAAACCAUGCACCGAAGCUGCGGCAGCGACGCUUAUGCGUUGUUGGGUAGGGGAGCGUUCUGUAAGCCUGCGAAGGUGUGCUGUGAGGCAUGCUGGAGGUAUCAGAAGUGCGAAUGCUGACAUAAGUAACGAUAAAGCGGGUGAAAAGCCCGCUCGCCGGAAGACCAAGGGUUCCUGUCCAACGUUAAUCGGGGCAGGGUGAGUCGACCCCUAAGGCGAGGCCGAAAGGCGUAGUCGAUGGGAAACAGGUUAAUAUUCCUGUACUUGGUGUUACUGCGAAGGGGGGACGGAGAAGGCUAUGUUGGCCGGGCGACGGUUGUCCCGGUUUAAGCGUGUAGGCUGGUUUUCCAGGCAAAUCCGGAAAAUCAAGGCUGAGGCGUGAUGACGAGGCACUACGGUGCUGAAGCAACAAAUGCCCUGCUUCCAGGAAAAGCCUCUAAGCAUCAGGUAACAUCAAAUCGUACCCCAAACCGACACAGGUGGUCAGGUAGAGAAUACCAAGGCGCUUGAGAGAACUCGGGUGAAGGAACUAGGCAAAAUGGUGCCGUAACUUCGGGAGAAGGCACGCUGAUAUGUAGGUGAAGUCCCUUGCGGAUGGAGCUGAAAUCAGUCGAAGAUACCAGCUGGCUGCAACUGUUUAUUAAAAACACAGCACUGUGCAAACACGAAAGUGGACGUAUACGGUGUGACGCCUGCCCGGUGCCGGAAGGUUAAUUGAUGGGGUCAGCGCAAGCGAAGCUCUUGAUCGAAGCCCCGGUAAACGGCGGCCGUAACUAUAACGGUCCUAAGGUAGCGAAAUUCCUUGUCGGGUAAGUUCCGACCUGCACGAAUGGCGUAAUGAUGGCCAGGCUGUCUCCACCCGAGACUCAGUGAAAUUGAACUCGCUGUGAAGAUGCAGUGUACCCGCGGCAAGACGGAAAGACCCCGUGAACCUUUACUAUAGCUUGACACUGAACAUUGAGCCUUGAUGUGUAGGAUAGGUGGGAGGCUUUGAAGUGUGGACGCCAGUCUGCAUGGAGCCGGCCUUGAAAUACCACCCUUUAAUGUUUGAUGUUCUAACGUGGACCCGUGAUCCGGGUUGCGGACAGUGUCUGGUGGGUAGUUUGACUGGGGCGGUCUCCUCCUAAAGAGUAACGGAGGAGCACGAAGGUUGGCUAAUCCUGGUCGGACAUCAGGAGGUUAGUGCAAUGGCAUAAGCCAGCUUGACUGCGAGCGUGACGGCGCGAGCAGGUGCGAAAGCAGGUCAUAGUGAUCCGGUGGUUCUGAAUGGAAGGGCCAUCGCUCAACGGAUAAAAGGUACUCCGGGGAUAACAGGCUGAUACCGCCCAAGAGUUCAUAUCGACGGCGGUGUUUGGCACCUCGAUGUCGGCUCAUCACAUCCUGGGGCUGAAGUAGGUCCCAAGGGUAUGGCUGUUCGCCAUUUAAAGUGGUACGCGAGCUGGGUUUAGAACGUCGUGAGACAGUUCGGUCCCUAUCUGCCGUGGGCGCUGGAGAACUGAGGGGGGCUGCUCCUAGUACGAGAGGACCGGAGUGGACGCAUCACUGGUGUUCGGGUUGUCAUGCCAAUGGCACUGCCCGGUAGCUAAAUGCGGAAGAGAUAAGUGCUGAAAGCAUCUAAGCACGAAACUUGCCCCGAGAUGAGUUCUCCCUGACCCUUUAAGGGUCCUGAAGGAACGUUGAAGACGACGACGUUGAUAGGCCGGGUGUGUAAGCGCAGCGAUGCGUUGAGCUAACCGGUACUAAUGAACCGUGAGGCUUAACCUU